rnacentral:snoRNA from 1 species
GUCUUACAAUUGAUCUCUGAACUUCAGGUAAGUUCAUGUUGAUACUUUAUCAAUCCUGAUG